rnacentral:rRNA from 1 species
UACGGAGGGAGCUAGCGUUGUUCGGAAUUACUGGGCGUAAAGCGCACGUAGGCGGCUUUGUAAGUUAGAGGUGAAAGCCCGGGGCUCAACCCCGGAAUUGCCUUUAAAACUGCAUCGCUUGAAUCCAGGAGAGGUGAGUGGAAUUCCGAGUGUAGAGGUGAAAUUCGUAGAUAUUCGGAAGAACACCAGUGGCGAAGGCGGCUCACUGGACUGGUAUUGACGCUGAGGUGCGAAAGCGUGGGGAGCAAACAGG